rnacentral:rRNA from 1 species
ACUUGGAGGUUGUGCCCUUGAGGCGUGGCUUCCGGAGCUAACGCGUUAAGUCGACCGCCUGGGGAGUACGGCCGCAAGGUUAAAACUCAAAUGAAUUGACGGGGGCCCGCACAAGCGGUGGAGCAUGUGGUUUAAUUCGAUGCAACGCGAAGAACCUUACCUGGUCUUGACAUCCACGGAAGUUUUCAGAGAUGAGAAUGUGCCUUCGGGAACCGUGAGACAGGUGCUGCAUGGCUGUCGUCAGCUCGUGUUGUGAAAUGUUGGGGUAAGUCGCGCAACGAGCGCAACCCUUUAUCCUUUUGUUGCCAGCGGCCCGGCCGGGAACUCAA